rnacentral:snRNA from 1 species
CGACUCUGGUUUCUCUCACGCACAAGCCUUUCGCCUUUACUAAAGACUUCCGUGGAGAGGAACACUUACGAGUUCAACGUAUUUUUGGAAGGGCUUUGCUUUCUGGCAGAGC